AAUCUUCCGCAAUGGACGAAAGUCUGACGAAGCAACGCCGCGCGAGUGAUGAAGGGUUUCGGCUCGUAAAACUCUGUUGUUAAGGAAGAACAAUAGAGGUAGUAACUGCCCCUGAGAUGACGGUACUUAACUACAAAGCCGCGACUAACUACGUGCCAGCAGCCGCGGUAAUACGGAGGUGGCAAGCGUUAUCCGGAAUUAUUGGGCGUAAAGCGCGCGUAGGCGGUAAAAUAAGUCGGAUGUGAAAGCCCCCGGCUCAACCGGGGAGGGUCAUUGGAAACUGUUUUACUUGAGUACAGAAGAGGAGAGUGGAAUUACAUGUGUAGCGGUGAAAUGCGCAGAGAUAUGGAGGAACACCAGUGGCGAAGGCGGCUCUCUGGUCUGUUACUGACGCUGAGGUGCGAAAGCGUGGGGAGCAAAC
rnacentral:rRNA from 1 species